AUGGUACACCUUAUUGUUUGUUUAUAAACACAUGGUUUAGCUCCUUGCAUAAGAUAGAAAAUGUGUGACAAAGACAUUACACCGAAUGGCCAUGUUUUUCUUGCAUGAUUACAAAAACAAAUUUGGUAAAAUACAUGAGAAGCAGUACUAUUAAAGUGUCGAUGUUCCAACUUCCAAGCAAUCUCUCUUUAUAAACAUGUCAAAUUUGCUUCCAUCUUUUCACCUACAACUAUGACCCAAAAGUAGCAGCAUAUCACCAAUAUGGGAUGGCUUAAAUCGCUAAUCUCCCCAUUGAAGAAGAUCUGGGUUCGACUUCAUUCAACAAAUAAAAGGAGUAGAGGAAUAUACAUCUUAUAUAAGGAUGUGAAGUCAUGUCCAUGUGAAGAUGUGCAAGUUCUCUGGUCAAUAUUGGUGGAGUCAGGCGCAACCUCUGCUUCUUUGCCAUCAAAAUAUACACAUUAAAACUUUAGUAUAUUUGGCAAGAGAGAAAAUGUAUAUUGAUAUAGUUUUCCUUCAAAUACUGUAAAUAUUCAACAUUUUAUGUGCUGAUUUCUGGUGGAUUAAUUCUACAUGAUUUCUAUAGAA